UGAACGCUGGCGGCGUGCCUAAUACAUGCAAGUCGAGCGAACAGACGAGGAGGUUGCUCCUCUGACGUUAUCGGCGGACGGGUGAGUAACACGUGGAUAACCUACCUAUAAGACUGGGAUAACUUCGGGAAACCGGAGCUAAUACCGGAUAAUAUAUUGAACCGCAUGGUUCAAUAGUGAAAGACGGUUUUGCUGUCACUUAUAGAUGGAUCCGCGCCGCAUUAGCUAGUUGGUAAGGUAACGGCUUACCAAGGCAACGAUGCGUAGCCGACCUGAGAGGGUGAUCGGCCACACUGGAACUGAGACACGGUCCAGACUCCUACGGGAGGCAGCAGUAGGGAAUCUUCCGCAAUGGGCGAAAGCCUGACGGAGCAACGCCGCGAGAGUGAUGAAGGUCUUCGGAUCGUAAAACUCUGUUAUUAGGGAAGAACAAAUGUGUAAGUAACUAUGCACGUCUUGACGGUACCUAAUCAGAAAGCCACGGCUAACUACGUG
rnacentral:rRNA from 1 species